rnacentral:lncRNA from 1 species
UAUGUACAUGACCAUAUUAACAAUCAAACUCUAGUUAUAAUGUUAUCAAGACUUUGUACUAUCAAGACUCUAAGAGAAUUAAACUAUUUAAGACUACGAAUUCGAUUACUCGCAUAGGAAGAUGAAAUGUUUUAUGGAUCAAAAUCGCGUUACAUAGCUAAAUUUUACCUAGUGGCCUUUCCGAGACGAGCAUGACGAGCGAUUAUAUUCUCAAGUCCUUCCUCGAAGAUAAGAUCAAGAGCGGCUCUGAGACCGUAGAGGAGUUGAAUGGAAGGUGUGUAAGGCCAAUAGGUUCCAAGCUUGUAAAACUUGAGGUAGUCAUUCCAAUCAAAGAAUACUUUGAGGGAUUUAGAGGUUUUUGUAGCUUCCAAGGCUUUAGGACUGGCACACACAAUACCAAGUCCUGUUGGUAGAGAUAAG